rnacentral:rRNA from 1 species
GACAGAGGGUGCAAACGUUGUUCGGAAUUACUGGGCGUAAAGCGCGUGUAGGCGGCUUCGCAAGUCGGAUGUGAAAGCCCUGGGCUCAACCCAGGAAGUGCAUUCGAAACUGCAAAGCUGGAGUCCUGGAGAGGAAGGCGGAAUUCUCGGUGUAGAGGUGAAAUUCGUAGAUAUCGAGAGGAACACCGGUGGCGAAGGCGGCCUUCUGGACAGUGACUGACGCUGAGACGCGAAAGCGUGGGGAGCAAACAGG